UUGUGAUAGUUUUCCCGGGUUCUGCGGAUGUUUGACGUUCCCCCCCUUCAUACUCAAUAACCUAUUGCCCUUGCGCUUAGACGCAAGACACGCCAUUUGCAAAACAUUAGUUCGUAAUGGCAUUGAUAAACCUUUCACGGGAUUAAAAUUUCGUGACAAACAGGCCUACUAUUACAAGAAACUUCAGUGUUGUGUUUACUUCACUAUACAAGUUUGCAACUAUGGGUACAAAUACUAAGGACGACUUUUCAGAAUCAAAAGAAUACGGCGUAAAAUCUGAGGAAUUCGAAGACUUUUCUGAGACUAUGUUAGAUGGAAGCGAUAAGAAAUCAUUAGAGGACGGCUCAUUGUCAGAUCCUGAUAACUGUGGCAUGUGUGGUGGCCCAUUGGUUAUACCUCGAAUGCUGCACUGUUUACAUACAUUUUGCGAAGAAUGCCUAGGCAAAAAGCUUGUCGGGGAAGCUGGAGAUGCUGGAUCCACAGACACUUCAAUCCAAUGCCCGAUCUGUAACUAUUCAACCCUGGUUGGAACAAAGAAGUUAGCUGCUCUACCGCUUGAUGUCUCAAAGACAAAUGUUACCGACGUUUCCAACUCCCCCGAUUUGCAUUGCACUUCCUGCACUGCCAAAGAAAUGGCCAAGUCCAAAUGUAACACCUGCCAACACCUUCUAUGCAACAAUUGUGACAAGGCUCAUCAUUUUAUGAGAUGUUUCGAGUCACACAAGGUUGUUGCUCUCGAGGACAUGGUUAAAUCUGGUAUUAAGAUCACAGUUCACAAGCCUCUAGUAUGCGAUUUCCAUCCUGGCGAAAAUCUCAUCUUCUAUUGCUUGGUGUGCAGUGUAACAGCUUGCACGGAGUGUAUUAAAGUUGAUCAUAAAGGCCACCAGUUUGAGGGGAUACUCGACUCUGAACCAAGAGUUAGACAAGAGAUGGAGGGUUUGGUUAAGAAAGGCAAAGAAAAAAUCGAAAACCUCACCAAAGCUUCUGCUACUUUGAACAAUAACAUGGAAGAACUUUCCCACCAGCGCUCCACCGCUAGAGAUCUUAUCAAUGAAUCAUAUCAGAGUUACAAGGCUGUUCUUGAGAAAUGUAAGGAUGAUAUUUUAGAAGAGCUGACUGGAUUGUAUCAUGAACGUGAGCUAGUCCUCAUGCAAGAGAGUAAUGAGUUGGGCAAUACCAUUGUUAACUUAGAAGAUGCCUGUAAAUGCACUUCCAGCUUAUUGGAAGGCGGUACUGCACAAGAGAUGAUGUAUUUAAGAACAGCACUUGCUACUAGGUUGAUGACUUUAAACCACAAAUCACCCAAACUGGAAAAAUCAUUCAGUAUUGAGUUCAAAUCUGACUUGGAUAAGUUUGAAUAUGCUAUCAGGAGUAAUUUCGGAAAGUUUGCUACAGAGGAAGAUGUCAUCGUGAAAACAUCACAGUCUUCUCCAGUUUUACCUGAAUUGGCUCCCUUGAACAUCAACGGGAUCAAUGGAAUCAACAACUCACCACCUGCUAUCGUCACAAACGGUUGUAGCGCACCUUCGGUAACAACAACCAGUCCAAUUUCUUUACCCACAUCCAUGCAAUCUUCAUUCGACGGGGAACUUGGAAACAAUUUACAAAUGUUGAUGGCUCAGAGUCCUCCCUUACCCCACGUCAAUUCAAACCAAGGGUUUUCCCAAGGGUUUUCUAGUAUUGCCGAGUACAAUAUAGCACAACUAGCCACUUUAGCAGAAAACACAAACAGUGCUGCCACGUCACCAACUACAGCUCCGUUCAAUAUUGCCGAUAUUUUGAACAAUGAUACUGCCUUCAAGAAUAUUGCAACGUUAGUUAAGCUGGCAGAAAACGUACCAAACGGUAACAACAUGCUGGCUCGGUCCACAUCAGCAGCAUCCUUAAACUUAUCCAAUAAUCUAAUUAACGGUUUUGGUGGCGUUUCCACCUCGACCUCUCCUUUAUUAUCCACUCCUGAUGACAUCAUUCCAGAUCCUUUAACAAAUAUCAUCCCCAAUACAGGAACCAAUACUACUCCGUCGAUUCCUAGAUCCAACAAAGUUAGUCCUAUGCAGAUCCGCUGCAAGUUUGGCCAGUUGGGACCCGGCAAGGGGCAGUUCAAUUCUCCACAUGGAUUUUGCUUGGGAUUGGAAGAGGACAUUAUCGUUGCCGAUACAAAUAAUCAUAGAAUUCAGAUCUUUGAAAAAACCGGAACAUUCAAGUUUCAAUUUGGCAUCCCAGGUAAAGACGAAGGUCAGCUGUGGUAUCCCAGGAAAGUAGCAGUUAUGCGCAAUACCGGCAAAUACGUCGUAUGCGAUCGUGGCAACGAACGCUCCAGGAUGCAGAUCUUCACUAAAAACGGCCAUUUCUUGAAAAAGAUAGCUAUACGUUACAUCGACAUAGUCGCUGGCCUAGCAGUCACUGUCAAUGGUGAGAUUGUCGCCGUUGACAGCGUCAGUCCGACAGUAUUCAUCAUAGGGGAGAGUGGAGAUCUGCUGCGUUGGUUCGAUUGCAGUGAUUAUAUGAGAGAGCCAUCCGAUAUCGCUAUUCAUGGGAAGGAAUUUUACGUUUGUGACUUCAAAGGGCACAACGUGGUAGUAUUUAACGACGACGGGCAAUUUUUGCGUAGAAUCGGAUGUGAGAACCUAACCAACUUUCCCAACGGAAUUGAUAUAUCAGAUGCAGGAGACGUAUUGAUUGGAGAUUCCCAUGGAAAUCGAUUCCACGUUGCAGUCUUUUCACGCGAUGGGGGCUUGAUUUCGGAAUUCGAAUGUCCAUAUGUAAAGGUCUCCAGAUGUUGUGGAUUGAAAAUCACAUCCGAAGGUUACGUAGUAACCCUCGCCAAAAACAAUCAUCAUGUUCUGGUAUUGAAUACGUUAUACAUCCUGUAAACCCCGAAUAAUAUAGCGUCGUCGACGAAUAUUUUGACCUUAGUCCCUCUUCCCGACCAACUGUUUCAUGAAUAUGUUGUGUUAGUUGACAUCCUCUGACACAUGUUGUGUUAGUUGACAACCCUGACACAUUCUCACCCGACCCUCGCCUGUUGAGCUGUGGCAUUUAACAAUUUUUGAUAAAAAUAUUUUUAUGUAUUUAAUCUUCACAGUUCGUACCCAGAAAUAGACUAAGAACUCCCCGUAAAAAUAUGAGUAGAUAAGGUAUCGGUACGACACAAAUCAAAAUGUGCGUAGAAGAAAGUUAACAUUGUGUUUGUUCCAACACGACCGAGAACCGUCAGGAAACGGUAACGAUCCUGCGCAGUAAAGAAAAUCCGUUCCAACAAAAAUAUGAUCGUCAUCGGAUCGUCCUUCCCACUGUUCCAACAAGAAUUGUGAUCUUUCGGUGACGGUUUCGUGAUGAUCAUUUCAGUAAUCGGGCAAAUGCAUAAUGUGCUGGUUGGACUGACUUGAGCACUAGGAUUUAAUUCUUUAAAUUUUUUGAGCCUUUGAUCGACUAAAAGCACACAAGCUGUCACCAACAAAAAUGACAAAUAUAUGAUUACCGUCAUGGGACGAUAACUGGGCGAUAUAAUUACGAACAUGCGCACAACAAACGGUACAAGCAGUUUCGUGACGGUUUUUGGGCCGUCCAAAAGUUC
rnacentral:misc_RNA from 1 species